rnacentral:rRNA from 1 species
ACAGGCCUAACACAUGCAAGUCGAACGCCCUCUUCGGAGGGAGUGGCAGACGGGUGAGUAACACGUGGGAAUCUACCUAUCGGUAAGGAACAACACAUAGAAAUGUGUGCUAAUACCUUAUACGUCCUCAGGGAGAAAGAUUUAUCGCCGAUAGAUGAGCCCGCGUUUGAUUAGCUAGUUGGUGAGGUAAUGGCUCACCAAGGCGACGAUCAAUAGCUGGUCUGAGAGGAUGAUCAGCCACACUGGGACUGAGACACGGCCCAGACUCCUACGGGAGGCAGCAGUGGGGAAUAUUGGACAAUGGGCGCAAGCCUGAUCCAGCCAUGCCGCGUGAGUGAUGAAGGCCCUAGGGUUGUAAAGCUCUUUCAACGGUGAAGAUAAUGACGGUAACCGUAGAAGAAGCCCCGGCUAACUUCGUGCCAGCAGCCGCGGUAAUACGAAGGGGGCUAGCGUUGUUCGGAAUAACUGGGCGUAAAGCGCACGUAGGCGGAUUGGAAAGUUAGAGGUGAAAUCCCGGGGCUCAACCCCGGAACUGCCUUUAAAACUAUCAGUCUAGAGGUCGAGAGAGGUGAGUGGAAUUCCGAGUGUAGAGGUGAAAUUCGUAGAUAUUCGGAGGAACACCAGUGCGAAGGCGGCUCACUGACUCGAUA